rnacentral:snRNA from 1 species
GGCAGGGGGGAGAAAUGAACCAAGCCUUGUAUGCACAUAUGAAUAAUAAAAGAAAAAAAGAGAGAGAUAACCAUCUCCAAUAAAGGAGGACCGUUCUUCGGUCAAGGGCUUACUAGUAGCUGCACUCCCCUGCUAGAACCUCCAAACAAGCUCUCAAAAUGAGCUUUGAAUAUGUGAGGAAAACAGUCUUUUCUAUCAAAGCGUGUUGCCAUCUUACCUGCUU